GAUGAACGCUGGCGGCAUGCCUAAUACAUGCAAGUCGAACGAGAGGAAGGAAAGCUUGCUUUCCUGAAUCUAGUGGCGAACGGGUGAGUAACACGUAGGUGACCUGCCCAUGUGCCCGGGAUAACUUCUGGAAACGGAUGCUAAAACCGGAUAGGUAGCAGACAAGCAUUUGACUGCUAUUAAAGUGGCCUUGGCCAUGAACAUGGAUGGACCUGCGGUGCAUUAGCUGGUUGGUGAGGUAACGGCCCACCAAGGCGACGAUGCAUAGCCGGCCUGAGAGGGCGGACGGCCACAUUGGGACUGAGACACGGCCCAAACUCCUACGGGAGGCAGCAGUAGGGAAUUUUCGUCAAUGGGGGGAACCCUGAACGAGCAAUGCCGCGUGAGUGAGGAAGGUCUUCGGAUCGUAAAGCUCUGUUGUAAGAGAAAAACGGCACUCAUAGGGAAUGAUGAGUGAGUGAUGGUAUCUUACCAGAAAGU
rnacentral:rRNA from 1 species